UACGUAGGGGCGAGCGUUGUCCGGAUUUAUUGGGCGUAAAGAGCUCGUAGGCGGCUCGGUAAGUCGGAUGUGAAAUCUCUAGGCUCAACCUGGAGAGGCCAUUCGAUACUGCUGUGGCUUGAGUCCGGUAGAGGAGCAUGGAAUUCCCGGUGUAGCGGUGAAAUGCGCAGAUAUCGGGAGGAACACCAGUAGCGAAGGCGGUGCUCUGGGCCGGUACUGACGCUGAGGAGCGAAAGCGUGGGGAGCGAACAGGAUUAGA
rnacentral:rRNA from 1 species